CCUACGGGUGGCUGCAGUGGGGAAUAUUGCACAAUGGGCGCAAGCCUGAUGCAGCCAUGCCGCGUGUGUGAAGAAGGCCUUCGGGUUGUAAAGCACUUUCAGCGGGGAGGAAGGCGGUGAGGUUAAUAACCUCAUCGAUUGACGUUACCCGCAGAAGAAGCACCGGCUAACUCCGUGCCAGCAGCCGCGGUAAUACGGAGGGUGCAAGCGUUAAUCGGAAUUACUGGGCGUAAAGCGCACGCAGGCGGUCUGUCAAGUCGGAGUGAAAUCCCCGGGCGCAACCUGGGAACUGCAUUCGAAACUGGCAGGCUAGAGUCUUGUAGAGGGGGGGAGAAUUCCAGGUGUAGCGGGGAAAUGCGUAGAGAUCUGGAGGAAUACCGGUGGCGAAGGCGGCCCCCUGGACAAAGACUGACGCUCAGGUGCGAAAGCGUGGGGAGCAAGCAGGAUUAAGACCCGGUAGUC
rnacentral:rRNA from 1 species